rnacentral:lncRNA from 1 species
AUGGGCAUGUCAAGGAUGCAAGAACAACUUUGCUGUCAUUCCAUCCCUGGAAAAGCUUCAAAUGCCUUUAAAGAAAAGGAUGCAAAACCCCAACUCAACCCAGAGAAAAUUAAGAGUAUAUGUGAGCAUCAUUUCAAUGCACAUGGUUGAGAUGCCGAAACAUUGAUUCAAAGAAGCCGUCAAUGCUGGCUGCUCUGGAAAAGAACAAGAACAAAGAUGUCCAACACAUUAUUGGUCUGUUAGAGGAUUGUCACCCGAACAAGAAAAAGGAUGACAGUGGUGUUGAAAUUUUGACUAUUGUCAAAAAAAGCACAUCCCCGAAGGUGCUAUUAACUGGAUCUCUUGGUGACAUUCACUAGACCUUGUGGCUGAAGGCAUGGUAGCAAUAAAGUUUAAGCAGUUUUCCAUCUUAAAUGAAGUUAUGUGUUUGCUGACUGCAUUGUAUGUAUCCAACGCAGAGAACCCUAAAGCUGGAGGUGGGUAGACAAAGAAUGUGUUUCCUUCUUCUGGACCAGAUAUUACUACAAACAGACGGAAAACGGAACAUUCCAAUUGAAUUGAAAACUUUUUACCCCAGCUUUGAGAACCUGGAAAUGACCUAAGUAUAGAUGAAUCCUAGUAAGAUAAGUGUUUGCAUGUAGUAACUUGUAUAUAUGUGUGCAAAUAACCAUUAGGAUAAAUUAUUUAUUAUAUUAGAUCUUUUAUAAUAUAUAUGUGUGUAUUGACAAAAUUUGAUUUGAAGUGCUUUGAAUUUCAGGAUAAUUUAACCAAUCUUUAAUUGGUUAAAAUAAUUGGUCAAAAAAACCAUUGCACAUUGGUUACAUUAACCAAAUUCAAUACAGGUUACAUCAACCUAUUAAAUAUUGGUAGAUUCAACCAAUAUUAAUAUUGGUAAUUUUAACCAAAAUGAAUUUGGUAAAAAAAUAACCAAAUUUUAAUUGGUUGUCCUGGUUGCAUCCAGGAGAACCUUUUUUUUUUGGUUGUUUCAACCAUUCAUUUUUUAC